GUACUAACUGCAGAGUCGCAUGAAUUCCAGCUCCACCUCUCUUUGCACUCCGGUUGUGCUGACCCCUGCGAAUUCCCCAAAUGUGGGAAUCUCGACUGCAUAAUUUCUGGUAGUGGGGGACUGCGUUCGCGCUCUCCCCUG
rnacentral:snRNA from 1 species